UCAUUAGGGGUGUUCUGGAAACAGAGCUGAGAUUAUACCCAUUGACCAGAUCAGGAUAAUGCCUGCGUUGGGAUAUGACUAAACA
rnacentral:ncRNA from 1 species